ensembl:lncRNA
GGGAGAUGAGGCGCUCAUGGAGGCCUGCAGAGCAGGGAGGGGACGGAUGCCUUCAGACUGAGCUGCUCGUAUUGGAGACCCCCGAACCACUCCUUAGGUUUUGUAUUCCCAGUGUUCUGCUAAAAAUCCUGCCCGGAGAUAGGAUGGGUGUGAAUCUGCAUUGCUGUGCUCUGCUCAGCUGUCAGCUGGGCCUCUCCUCCCUGGGCAGGGGCUGCAGAAGUUAGGGCAGGCAUGGCUGCAGGUGUACGGGAGGAGGAGGAGGGAGGAGAUGAAUCUCCGUGCAGCCGUAUGUUUGAUGUAGCAAGGCACAGCACCUCUUCUCUGUGUCCGGCUGUGAUGGAUGUGCUUGUUUGGGUGAAGUUGUGCCCUUCAGAAGUCUGUAUCCUAUAACUGGAGCAGUGCUCACCUCUGUGAGGAUGCUUACUCACCCAGGAGCUGAGGUCUGACCGUGGCGACCAUGAUCUGCAGUAACAUCACGUGGAUGGGGCUGACAUCUCCCCUCCCUGCCCUGCAUGCACUGAAAGCCCUUGCAGGGCACACAUCAAACCCUCUGGGUGUGGAGGAGAAGUACUGUGCAUUGAUACUGCUAUAGCUAGGACCGGGGCUCAAUCCCGAGGAUGCUGCUGGAUAUAGACAGGAGAAACACACAGAAAUGAUGCUGCAAUCAAAUACAGAGUUUACUAUUACUCACAAAACUCAGAGCUGUGAAUUGGAAGCUUAUGACCCUCCCUCAAAUAAGCACUCCUCCACCUCUUCCUACUCCUCUGAGGAGUCAAUGGGGAGGAGUGUGCUUAAACUGUGAGCUCAGUGAGGAGUCUCCACCUGAUGGGCUCCGUGUGAUGCAGAUUUCAGCCCACAUUUCACUUCUCAUGGCUGAAAGAGCAACUGCCCCAACAACUUCCUCGUCUUUGUCUCCAGAACAGGCAGAUUCGUCCUGCAUUGACUGCACAGGUGAGGCUGAGAAGACCGUUUUCCUGCAGCUUGCAGACACAGUGAUGGAGCGUGGGGAUAUUUGCUCCCCCCCGUGGGACUGCCGCCAGGUGGGUGUUGCAGCACCAGGUGGGUGUUGCAGUGCAGGUGUUUGGGGCCGCACACCCCUGCCUGGUUUUCCUGGUGUUCAUCCGGUUCGCUGACCUCCCUGGGGCUUCCCAGGUACCGCAGGGCCACAGCCCGUCUGCUGCUUGAUCAGCAGUUAUGAUUCACCUGUUGAUGCCACAGCUUAAUAACUCACUUAACUGCAGUACUUUGAUUAAAGAGCAACCUAUCUAACG